rnacentral:rRNA from 1 species
GAUGAACGCUGGCGGCGUGCCUAAUACAUGCAAGUCGUGCGAACAGACGAGGAGCUUGCUCCUCUGACGUUAGCGGCGGACGGGUGAGUAACACGUGGAUAACCUACCUAUAAGACUGGGAUAACUUCGGGAAACCGGAGCUAAUACCGGAUAAUAUAUUGAACCGCAUGGUUCAAUAGUGAAAGACGGUUUUGCUGUCACUUAUAGAUGGAUCCGCGCCGCAUUAGCUAGUUGGUAAGGUAACGGCUUACCAAGGCAACGAUGCGUAGCCGACCUGAGAGGGUGAUCGGCCACACUGGAACUGAGACACGGUCCAGACUCCUACGGGAGGCAGCAGUAGGGAAUCUUCCGCAAUGGGCGAAAGCCUGGCGGAGCAACGCCGCGUGAGUGAUGAAGGUCUUCGGAUCGUAAAACUCUGUUAUUAGGGAAGAACAAAUGUGUAAGUAACUAUGCACGUCUUGACGGUACCUAAUCAGAAAGCCACGGCUAACUACGUG